UUCUUUUCCUUAUAGUAUAUCUUUAAAUCCUCUCAACAUAGUCCUUUCAACCACCAUUCCGCUUUGAUACACAGGUAAAAAGUUAACAGCCGUUGCAUUCCUGCUACCCCAAUCGAUGGCAGUUUGGCAAAUGUUGCCAAAGGUUUUUAACUGGCUGUUUUGCCUUAAAGCUAGAAUCCAUAAAAGUUUUGAUCAAUGAGAUACGUAUGUUAGAGACACUCAAAACUGUGUAUGUACUUGGAAUGUUUCAGGUAAUGUAAAAAUUUGGACAUUACAGUGUGGUAUUUAGUACUUUAAUAAACUGGUGGUCACAUUUGAUAGAAUUUUAUUAUUUUAUACAAAUUGUAUAUAUAGCACUUCAGCAAAAUACCUUAAUGUGAUAAAUAAACAAAAUAUAUGAAGAAUAAAUUAAAUGUAGUGAAUUUGUAGUCGAUCUUGUCUUUUAAAAAAAAAAUUGUAUUUUGGUGCAUUGUAUUCACCAUUGCUUUCAUGCUACUUUCUUGCAUUAAUUCUCAUCAAACUCUC